rnacentral:rRNA from 1 species
GUGGGGAAUUUUGGACAAUGGGCGCAAGCCUGAUCCAGCAAUGCCGCGUGCAGGAAGAAGGCCUUCGGGUUGUAAACUGCUUUUGUACGGAACGAAACGGUCCUGGCUAAUAUCCGGGGCUAAUGACGGUACCGUAAGAAUAAGCACCGGCUAACUACGUGCCAGCAGCCGCGGCAAUACGUAGGGUGCGAGCGUUAAUCGGAAUUACUGGGCGUAAAGCGUGCGCAGGCGGUGCUGUAAGACAGGCGUGAAAUCCCCGGGCUCAACCUGGGAAUUGCGCUUGUGACUGCAGUGCUGGAGUGCGGCAGAGGGGGAUGGAAUUCCGCGUGUAGCAGUGAAAUGCGUAGAUAUGCGGAGGAACACCGAUGGCGAAGGCAAUCCCCUGGGCCUGCACUGACGCUCAUGCACGAAAGCGUGGGGAGCAAACAGGAUUAGAUACCCUUGUAGUCC